GGAAGGAAACACCGGUUCCCGUACGAUCACCGAAGUUAAACAACGUCGAGCCUGGUCAGUACCUUGAUGGGUGACCGCUUCGGAACACCAGUUGCUGUAAG